AUUUGCCAAGAGAUUUAUUAUACACCCAAACGCACGUGAAAAUAGCGAAGAUGUGGUUUAGAACUCAACGUCUGAAAGUCUCAUUCAGGUAUAAGCGGAACAUACUUUGCAAUGGAGGCGCAUUGUACUUGAUGAUGUCGUGGAGACGCCUGGUUAUACUUUAGCACAGAGAAGAACAAUCUACAGUGAAAUCUCUCUAAGGCGAUUCUUCAAGGGACCGUCAGCUUAGAGGAAUAUUCAUGUUGAG